rnacentral:rRNA from 1 species
AGCGGCGUACGGGUGCGGAACACGUGUGCACUGCCUUUAUCUGGGGGAUAGCCUUUCGAAAGGAAGAUUAAUACCCCAUAAUAUGUUGAAUGGCAUCAUUCGACAUUGAAAACUCCGGUGGAUAGAGAUGGGCACGCGCAAGAUUAGAUAGUUGGUGAGGUAACGGCUCACCAAGUCUACGAUCUUUUAGGGGGCCUGAGAGGGUGAUCCCCCAACUGGUACUGAGACACGGACCAGACUCCUACGGGAGGCAGCAGUGAGGAAUAUUGGACCAAUGGGUGAGAGCCUGAUCCAGCAUCCCGCGUGAAGGACGACUGCCCUAUGGGUUUGUAAACUUCUUUUGGUAUAGGGAUCAAACCUACCCUCGUGAGGGUAGCUCUGAAGGUACUAUACGAAUAAGCACCGGUAACUCCGUGCCAGCAGCCGCUGGGUAAUCACGGAGGGUGCAAGCGUAUCCGGGAUUNAUUGGGUUCACACCGGGGUCCCGUANGGCCGGAAUNCUGUCAAGGUCAGGUGGGUGGAAAAUCUUCACAGCUUACACCUUGUUGACAACCUGGCCAAUUUGACUACUUGCAGGGUCCUCUGACNUCGUGGACGAAC